UUCACUUGGUACACACAGAGAUCAUGCCCUGUCCAACUGAACUACAUCCGAGACUUAAACCAUUAGCAUACUUCUGAAAGUUCCCUGGCUUUCCAGGAGGGUGUUCAUUAUCAUACCGGUGGUGGCCGUUGGCUAAAACAUCAGAGACCCUUUAGUCCUUCACUCGGGAAACAUAUGCCAUAUCUUCCUGUCUCAGAAGGACCCUGCUCUAGAAAUGAAGAUUUUAGCUUCAAAGGAUGACACCAAAGAAAAUGUUGGUACACGCUCUACUCAAUCAAUCACCCUCAGUUGCUCUGCUCGGCAGUGUCGUUAAAUAACAGUGAACUGGAAGGAUCGUCACUGCACGUGAGUC